rnacentral:misc_RNA from 1 species
CUUUGCCUCCUUUCGUCGUCUUCAUCUUGCAAAUAGAAAAAUUGAGGAACUUUGGCCUUACGUAUCUAUCAACGUCUCCUAAAAAAAAAAAGUAUUUUUUUUCUAAAUUAGCAACAAUAAUGAUUGAUAUACUUGUUCUUUGUGAUUGUUCAAUGUGGAAAUUUAAUUAGAAAUCAAAGACAGGAAGAGCUUGCAGAAACCCUUCUUCG